CAAGGCCCGGUGGUUCAUCCAGAACCUUACAAGCUCAGGCUUCAUGCUUGGCUUCUGAAAGGCAAUCCCUGAAGAAACAGGGCUUAUCGGAACAGGUGGUGGCUACCCUUUUAUGUUCCAGGAAGAUCUCCACUUCAUCUACUUACCACAGAAUAUGGGAAGCCUUUGAGGUCUGGUUAAAUUCUUCUAUACAGAACAUGGGUACUCCUACAGUCUCUCAAGUUUUAGGUUUUCUACAAGUGGGCCUGGAGAAGGGUCUUAGUCUUAACACCCUGAAAGUUCACUGUUCAGCUAUCUCGGCUCUCUCUGGCAUUCGAUGGGCACUUCAUCCUAUGGUGGUUCGUUUUUUCAAG